rnacentral:rRNA from 1 species
CUCAGAUUGAACGCUGGCGGCAUGCCUUACACAUGCAAGUCGAACGGCAGCGGGGGUAGCUUGCUACCUGCCGGCGAGUGGCGAACGGGUGAGUAAUACAUCGGAACGUGCCCUGUAGUGGGGGAUAACUAGUCGAAAGACUAGCUAAUACCGCAUACGACCUGAGGGUGAAAGUGGGGGACCGCAAGGCCUCAUGCUAUAGGAGCGGCCGAUGUCUGAUUAGCUAGUUGGUGGGGUAAAGGCCCACCAAGGCGACGAUCAGUAGCUGGUCUGAGAGGACGAUCAGCCACACUGGGACUGAGACACGGCCCAGACUCCUACGGGAGGCAGCAGUGGGGAAUUUUGGACAAUGGGGGCAACCCUGAUCCAGCAAUGCCGCGUGUGUGAAGAAGGCCUUCGGGUUGUAAAGCACUUUUGUCCGGAAAGAAAUCGCUUCGGUUAAUACCUGGAGUGGAUGACGGUACCGGAAGAAUAAGGACCGGCUAACUACGUGCCAGCAGCCGCGGUAAUACGUAGGGUCCAAGCGUUAAUCGGAAUUACUGGGCGUAAAGCGUGCGCAGGCGGUUGUGCAAGACCGAUGUGAAAUCCCCGGGCUUAACCUGGGAAUUGCAUUGGUGACUGCACAGCUAGAGUGUGUCAGAGGGAGGUAGAAUUCCACGUGUAGCAGUGAAAUGCGUAGAGAUGUGGAGGAAUACCGAUGGCGGAAGGCAGCCUCC